rnacentral:rRNA from 1 species
CACGUAGGGUGCGAGCGUUGUCCGGAAUUAUUGGCGUAAAGAGCUCGUAGGCGGUGUGUCGCGUCGGCCGUGAAAACCUGCAGCUUAACUGUGGGCUUGCGGUCGAUACGGGCAUCACUGGAGUUCGGCAGGGGAGACUGGAAUUCCUGGUGUAGCGGUGAAAUGCGCAGAUAUCAGGAGGAACACCGGUGGCGAAGGCGGGUCUCUGGGCCGUAACUGACGCUGAGGAGCGAAAGCGUGGGGAGCGAACAGG